rnacentral:ncRNA from 1 species
UUGUGGAGUAGAGGCGCGGGUUUCAUGAGUACUUGUUCGGAGGACGGGCCGUUGAUGGACAAGGAAAGGGAAACACCGCCGAAGUUUGCUGGAAGACCCGACAGAAAGCAGGCUGGGACUGUAUCCGAACAGGAACAGGACUGUCACAAAAGUACAUGGGUUGCUUUUGUGAAGCGCUAAUCCGCAG